AACUGGGAUGUUGAAUUAGGCUGCAAUCUUAAAUACACUUACCAGAGAGCAAGUGCUAUUGAACUCUGAAUAAACACGCUUAGGAUCGUGCUGCUAGAUCCCUUUGAGCAUGAAAACAGCUGUGCUCUAACUUCUGAUCAGGUGGUUGUGAAUUUGCUCAGCCGAGAAGUCUCAAGCCACUUGGCAGCAUUUCUGGGCCAGAUGUGAAGGGAAGAAAGGCACAGAAGAUCAGGAAGGCCAGGGUGGAUUCACCAGCUGAGCUACUAUGGAACGGAAAGCCGUUGCUUGUGGUCCAGAACCCCUGUUAUGGACAACAUCACUCACUGAGUGCCCUUGGGCCAGUCACUAUCUCUCAGCUUAGCCUUCUUCAUAGGGUCACUGUGAGGCAAGCAGUGGGAGGAAAGUACCUCUCAGCUCCCUGGACAAAGGCUGUGCAGCAGAGCUCUCUUGCAACUCAGAAGAGCCACGAGAACACCAGUUUGUGCUGAAGAAACAACCCGGAUAGGGGAAAAACAAAGGGGGAUUCUAUGGAAUCUGCAAAGCACAUUCUCAUGUGCGACACAGCAAAAGAGUAUAAGUAUACAAAGCUCUCUCUAAAAGAAGUUGUGGCAUUAUUCCAUGUUAUACCGAUAAGAACCUUGAAAGGUUGCUUAAGUUGAGAGUGAUUGGCCACAUAUCACCCAGUGAGCUUCAUGUCUGAAU